CGGAGGAUCCAAGCGUUAUCCGGAAUCAUUGGGUUUAAAGGGUCCGUAGGCGGUUUGGUAAGUCAGUGGUGAAAGCCCAUCGCUUAACGAUGGAACGGCCAUUGAUACUGCCAGACUUGAAUUACUGGGAAGUAACUAGAAUAUGUAGUGUAGCGGUGAAAUGCUUAGAUAUUACAUGGAAUACCAAUUGCGAAGGCAGGUUACUACCAGUGGAUUGACGCUGAUGGACGAAAGCGUGGGGAGCGAACAGGAUUAGAUACCCUGGUAGUCCACGCCGUAAACGAUGGAUACUAGCUGUUGGGGGUAACCUCAGUGGCUAAGCGAAAGUGAUAAGUAUCCCACCUGGGGAGUACGUUCGCAAGAAUG
rnacentral:rRNA from 1 species